AUGACCUCGGAUCAGGUAGGGAUACCCGCUGAACUUAAGCAUAUCAAUAAGCGGAGGAAAAGAAACCAACAGGGAUUACCUCA
rnacentral:rRNA from 2 species